CCUACGGGUGGCUGCAGUGGGGAAUAUUGGGCAAUGGGCGCAAGCCUGACCCAGCAACGCCGCGUGAAGGAAGAAGGCUUUCGGGUUGUAAACUUCUUUUCUCAGGGACGAAGCAAGUGACGGUACCUGAGGAAUAAGCCACGGCUAACUACGUGCCAGCAGCCGCGGUAAUACGUAGGUGGCAAGCGUUAUCCGGAUUUACUGGGUGUAAAGGGCGUGUAGGCGGGACUGCAAGUCAGAUGUGAAAACCACGGGCUCAACCUGUGGCCUGCAUUUGAAACUGUAGUUCUUGAGUGCAGGAGGGGUAAGUGGAAUUCCUAGUGUAGCGGUGGAAUGCGUAGAUAUUAGGAGGAACAUCAGGGGCGAAGGCGACUUACUGGACUGUAACUGACACUGAGGCACGAAAGCGUGGGGAGCAAACAGGAUUAGAUACCCCAGUAGUC
rnacentral:rRNA from 1 species